rnacentral:tRNA from 1 species
GCCCUUGUAGUCUAAUGGAUAAGACGUCGCUCUCCUAAAGCGGAGGUUGCAGGUUCGAGUCCUGCCUGGGGUA